rnacentral:rRNA from 1 species
AUAGCGUAUAUUAAAGUUGUUGCGGUUAAAAAGCUCGUAGUUGGAUUUUGGAACAUGAACGAUUGGUCCGGCUUCGGCCGCGCACUGACCGUUCGGUUCUUCUGUCUGGAGACUCCUUGUUCCUUCUUCGCUGAAGGGCUUGGGGGAUCUAGGACUUUUACUUUGAACAAAUUAGAGUGCUCAACGCAGGCCUACGCCUUGAAUACAUUAGCAUGGAAUAACGUAUAGGACUUUGGUUCUAUUUUGUUGGUUUUAAGGACCGAAGUAAUGAUUAAUAGGGAUAGUUGGGGGCAUUAAUAUUUAAUUGUCAGAGGUGAAAUUCUUAGAUUUAUGAAAGAGUAACUUCUG